rnacentral:rRNA from 1 species
UACGAAGGGGGCUAGCGUUGCUCGGAAUCACUGGGCGUAAAGGGUGCGUAGGCGGGUCUUUAAGUCAGGGGUGAAAUCCUGGAGCUCAACUCCAGAACUGCCUUUGAUACUGAGGAUCUUGAGUACGGGAGAGGUGAGUGGAACUGCGAGUGUAGAGGUGAAAUUCGUAGAUAUUCGCAAGAACACCGGUGGCGAAGGCGGCGACCUGGGUACAUACUGACGCUGAGGUGCGAAAGCGUGGGGAGCAAACAGG